AGCGAACGCUGGCGGCAUGCUUAACACAUGCAAGUCGCACGGGCAGGGGUAACUCUGUCAGUGGCGGACGGGUGAGUAACGCGUAGGUAUCUAUCCUUGGGUGGGGGACAACCACGGGAAACUGUGGCUAAUACCGCAUGAUGACUGAGGUCCAAAGGCGCAAGUCGCCUGGGGAGGAGCCUGCGUCCGAUUAGCUUGUUGGUGGGGUAAUGGCCUACCAAGGCUCCGAUCGGUAGCUGGUCUGAGAGGAUGAUCAGCCACACUGGGACUGAGACAC
rnacentral:rRNA from 1 species